UACGAAGGGACCUAGCGUAGUUCGGAAUUACUGGGCUUAAAGAGCUCGUAGGUGGUUAGAAAAGUUGGUGGUGAAAUCCCAAGGCUUAACCUUGGAACUGCUAUCAAAACUUUUUAACUAGAGUAUGAUAGAGGAAAGUGGAAUUUCUAGUGUAGAGGUGAAAUUCGUAGAUAUUAGAAAGAACACCAAUUGCGAAGGCAACUUUCUGGAUCAUUACUGACACUGAGGAGCGAAAGCAUGGGUAGCGAAGAGG
rnacentral:rRNA from 1 species